rfam:Mycobacterium holsaticum strain M7 PROKKA_contig000054, whole genome shotgun sequence.
CCGCCGGACACCGGCGUACGAUCGACCGCACGACGGGUUCGGGAGUGACUGAUCCGAAGAACCGGUAAGGGUUGAAAG